GACGAACGCUGGCGGCGUGCCUAAUACAUGCAAGUAGAACGCUGAAGCGAGGAGCUUGCUCUUCUUGGAUGAGUUGCGAACGGGUGAGUAACGCGUAGGUAACCUGCCUUGUAGCGGGGGAUAACUAUUGGAAACGAUAGCUAAUACCGCAUAACAAUGGAUGACACAUGUCAUUUAUUUGAAAGGGGCAAUUGCUCCACUACAAGAUGGACCUGCGUUGUAUUAGCUAGUAGGUGAGGUAACGGCUCACCUAGGCGACGAUACAUAGCCGACCUGAGAGGGGGAUCGGCCACACUGGGACUGAGACACGGCCCAGACUCCUACGGGAGGCAGCAGUAGGGAAUCUUCGGCAAUGGGGGCAACCCUGACCGAGCAACGCCGCGUGAGUGAAGAAGGUUUUCGGAUCGUAAAGCUCUGUUGUAAGUCAAGAACGAGUGUGAGAGUGGAAAGUUCACACUGUGACGGUAGCUUACCAGAAAGGGACGGCUAACUACGU
rnacentral:rRNA from 1 species